GGGGUGUCCUCAGAGCAGAUGGCCUGAAGAAUGACUUCUCUAUUUACAAUACACCCAACAGGAACUUAGGGUCAUUGUGACAAGGGACACAAAACUUGUGGCUUCCCUCUGAGCAAGUGUCCUAAACAU
rnacentral:snoRNA from 1 species